rnacentral:rRNA from 1 species
UGAGGGAAAGAUGAAAAGGACUUUGAAAAGAGAGUUAAGAGUGCCUGAACUUGCUGAAAGGAAAGCGGAUGGAACUACUUUCUCUUGGCGAGAUUGUUUCGUGCUCCAGUGACUGUUCGCCGAGCGAGCGCAAGCAGCUCAGCGGAUCUCGACCUGGUCGUGCGGAAUGCUUCUUGCCUCGUCCGUCACUGACUGUGUGGGGGCGGGGAGACCUCUAGGGACAUGGUAGCGCACCUUCGGGGACGCGAACGUGCCUAGUAGUGCUUGCUCGCGUACGGUACCUUUUGCCUCAGAUUGAGUUGCUCUCCUGCGCAAACGCGCUCGCGCGUGUGCAGCUGCGCGAGGCACCAUUUUGAUGCUUCAUUAGUGGCGAAAUGGUUCCAUUCGACCCGUCUUGAAACACGGACCAAGGAGUCUAACAUAUGUGCGAGUUCUUGGGUAUCAAACCUACGUGCGCAAUGAAAGUGAGUACUGAGAUGUUAGCAUCAGCAGCCGACCGAUCGAUUGGGAGAGGUUUGAGCAUGAGCAUAUCUGUUAGGACCCGAAAGAUGGUGAACUAUGCCUGAGAAGGGCAAAGUCUGGGGAAACUCAGAUGGAGGCUCGUAGCGGUA